rnacentral:rRNA from 2 species
UACGAAGGGGGCUAGCGUUGCUCGGAAUCACUGGGCGUAAAGGGUGCGUAGGCGGGUCUUUAAGUCAGGGGUGAAAUCCUGGAGCUCAACUCCAGAACUGCCUUUGAUACUGAGGAUCUUGAGUCCGGGAGAGGUGAGUGGAACUGCGAGUGUAGAGGUGAAAUUCGUAGAUAUUCGCAAGAACACCAGUGGCGAAGGCGGCUCACUGGCCCGGUACUGACGCUGAGGCACGAAAGCGUGGGGAGCAAACAGG